rnacentral:rRNA from 1 species
GAGAAGUACGGAGGUGGCGCCGAGGGAGUCCGUAGGGUCCAAGCGUUUAGCGGAAUCAUUGGGCGGAAAGCUUGCGUAGGCGGUUUGUUAAGUGGGGUGUUAAAUCGUGUGGCUCAACCAUAUCGAUGCAUCGCAUACUGGCAGACUAGAGGACGGCAGAGGCAAGUGGAAUUGGUAGUGUAGCAGUGAAAUGCGUAGAUAUUACCAGGAACACCAAUGGCGAAGGCAGCUUGCUGGGCCACUCCUGACACUGAGGUACGAAAGCGUGGGGAGCGAACAGGAUUAGAUACCCGGGUAGUC